rnacentral:tRNA from 1 species
GUUUUAUUAGUAUAAAAAGUACAUUUGACUUCCAAUCAUAUAGUUUAAAAUUAAUUAAAUAAAACA